ensembl:lncRNA
AGGUUCAGCCAGGACCACUUGGAGCUUCUCUUCAACUCCAUCAGAGUAUCUGGAUUUGUUGUGCGACGGUCUCUGAAGAAGCUUUCGUGUGAUGUCAGCCGUGCCAGCCUGGUGACAUGCUGCAUCUGCCAUCAAGGACCAGAGCUACCACCUGCUGAAUUUAAAAAACAAUGGAGGUCUGGUGAUUCCAUCAGAGGGAACCGUGAGUGUCGUCAGGGCAGCAGAGUGGGUCAUUCGGCAGUCAUCAGGCAGUACCAGACGAUCACAGCCCAUUAAACUGCUUGAGGUUGUUUACAUUGUCUGAAAAAGGAUCGGUUCAGAGGAUGUUUGUGUUGGGAUAGACAUCCACCACCAUAGGCUGUUAAAAAUAAUUCUGUCCCUGUUUUUUAAGUUAAGGCUGCACCACAUCGCCAGAAUUACAAUCCUCAGCUUACAGAGCAACAACAUGCAACAAA